rnacentral:rRNA from 1 species
GAUCAUGGCUCAGGAUGAACGCUAGCUACAGGCUUAACACAUGCAAGUCGCGGGGCAGCAUGUCGGUUGCUUGCAACCGAUGAUGGCGACCGGCGCACGGGUGAGUAACGCGUAUCCAACCUUCCCGCAAGUAAGGGAUAACCCGUAGAAAUGCGGCCUAAUACCUUAUGUUUUCCUUAGAGGGCAUCUGAUGAGGAACAAAGAUCCGUCGCUUGCGGAUGGGGAUGCGUCUGAUUAGUUAGUCGGCGGGGUAACGGCCCACCGAGACGACGAUCAGUAGGGGUUCUGAGAGGAAAGUCCCCCACAUUGGAACUGAGACACGGUCCAAACUCCUACGGGAGGCAGCAGUGAGGAAUAUUGGUCAAUGGGCGGAAGCCUGAACCAGCCAAGUAGCGUGCAGGACGACGGCCCUAUGGGUUGUAAACUGCUUUUAUGCGGGGAUAAAGUGAGCCACGCGUGGCCUUUUGCAGGUACCGCAUGAAUAAGGACCGGCUAAUUCCGUG